UAUAUAUCAAUUUUAUCAAUGAGAGAUUUCUUCACCAAGUGGAUAUGAUAAUAAAGGGAAAAGAAAGGAUGCUCUGCCACAUUCCAGUGACAGUACGUGGCUGCAAAAUAGUAUAAAUUUUUUUGGUCACUUAGGUCAUAUUAUCACCUAGAUAAAAAGAAUCAAAAUUUAAUUUUCUGAUCAUAUAUCACCAUCAGCUCCAGAGGUAGCCCGACUAAACCGACAGCUCUUG
rnacentral:lncRNA from 1 species